rnacentral:rRNA from 1 species
UACAGAGGUCUCAACCGUUGUUCGGAUUCAUUGGGCGUAAAGAGCUCGUAGGCGGUUUGUCGCGUCUGCUGUGAAAACCUAAGGCUCAACCUUGGGCUUGCAGUGGGUACGGGCAGACUAGAGUGCGGUAGGGGUGACUGGAAUUCCUGGUGUAGCGGUGGAAUGCGCAGAUAUCAGGAGGAACACCGAUGGCGAAGGCAGGUCUCUGGGCCAUUACUGACACUGAGAAGCGAAAGCAUGGGGAGCGAACAGG